rnacentral:rRNA from 1 species
UUUAUGGAGAGUUUGAUCCUGGCUCAGGAUGAACGCUGGCGGCGUGCCUAAUACAUGCAAGUCGAGCGAACAGAUAAGGAGCUUGCUCCUUUGACGUUAGCGGCGGACGGGUGAGUAACACGUGGGUAACCUACCUAUAAGACUGGAAUAACUCCGGGAAACCGGGGCUAAUGCCGGAUAACAUGUUGAACCGCAUGGUUCUAUAGUGAAAGACGGU